rnacentral:misc_RNA from 1 species
CAUGAUAAAAUAAAGUGAAAAAACUUAAUCUUUACUACAAGAUCUUAUUUAUUAGAGUAACGUUCCAGCACAACGUUACAGUACCCCGCCAAAAAGCGUAGGAUUUUGCCUACUAGAGCAAAAUCCGACUGAACUAACUACUAAACUCACUGCAAGAUAAAAUACUUAAUUGCAGUCCUACACACCAACUAUGCAUAACAACUAAACUUACUACACUUCCAUUCUAUACAUACAUCACAUCACAUACAUCAUAUCCAUACAUCACAUUGCAUACAUCACAUCACAUACACUCUUUGACCUCUCAUAAUAAUCUUUUAGUCAGUAGUAGGUAGCGACACAAAGAUCCUUACACACAGAGUAAACAACUGCAGCACUAUGUUGUUCACUCAAUAAGCUAGUUUAAGAGUAUUAAAUAGUAUUAUUUAGUUUAUUUAAUACAGCAUAAUUUAGGUAGUAGAUGUUAAAAAUAUUAAAGUUGACAGCAGUAUUUAGUCUUAGUAUAAAUGGGGGUCCAUUGUAGUCUAUAUGGGUACCCUAGCCCUACGAUUUACAUCUUGGGAUCAGUAUUACUACCACUAGGAUACCCGCGCUGAGUCUAUAUGCUAGGUUUAAAUUCCCUAAGCAAACCCAUUUACAUUUAUAUUGUUAAUUGUUAAUGCAAUAAAUCAAUGUUAAAAAAUAUUUAAAGUUUUAAGUUAAUUUUACGUUAGGUUAUUGAAGUUGAUUAGUUUGGGCAAAAUUUAUUGUUUAUAGUUUACUAAUUUAAUAUCUUUAAUAUGCCAGUCACCUAGAGGUUUACCUGACAUAUCAGCAAGUGUGUAGACAAGUGGAGAUUUUUUAUCAAUAACCUUACACUUAAUGAAUUUUUCAGCAAGUUUUUUAUUGAAAUAUUUAUCUUUAUCACUCAAAUAAAAUGUUUUCCUCCAAACAGUAUCCCCAAUAUUGCAUUCAACAGACUUUUUACGCAAAUUAUAUCUAUUUGAAUUUCGACUAUGAGCUUCUAAUAAUGAACGCUGAACCUUAUUAAAUAUACUAGAUAGAAUACCUAAGUUCUCAGCAUAAGAGUCUCUAGGUUGAAAAAUAAGAUCCUCAUCAUCAUCUGUGUCAAUAUAGUGUGAACCACAAGCGACUAGUUCACGCCCGUACACCAGAAAUGAUGGAGUAUAGCCAGUUACCUCAUUUACAGAGCUAUUGACAGCGAAUUGUAUCUUUGGAACCAGCUGGUCCCAGACUCUUUGAUCUGAAGAAAUAAAUGUAGAGAUAGCAGUAAUAAUAGUCUUGUUAUAACGUUCAACUGUGUUAACAUGAGGGGAAUAUUUAGGAGUAAAAUGUAAUUUAGGUACUUUAUACUUGUUCAACAUUCGCUUCAACGUAGCACUCACAAAUUGUUUACCAUUAUCAAGUAUAACUGUAGAAGGUAUACCAUGUAUUAAGAAUACUUUUUCCUCUAGAAUUUUAGUAACUAUUUCAGCAGUUGCUCGCCUAAUAGGAAAUAGUAAGCAGUAUUUACUAAAGCAACAUGUCACAACUAGAAUAAAAGAAUUUUGAUUCCUAGUAGGGGGUAGAGGUCCUACUAAAUCUAUACUUAUAACCUGGAAAGGUCUAGAGCAUUGCUUAGGCCUUCCCAUCUCGCCUAGAGUAGCAUGAUUUUGAUGUUUAUGGGAAAUACAAGUUUCACAAGAAGUAACUAGCUUAACUACAUCAGCAUGCAUACGAGGCCAGUAGUACCUCAGGCUAAUACGUUUGUAGGUUUUAAAAAUGCCCGCAUGACCAGCGGUAGGGUCUGAAUGAUUUUUUAGAAUAAUAUCAGUUCGAGCUUCAGAGGGAACCACUUCUUUCCACUCGAACUCCCUAUUAAGAGGAUUUUUAGUUUGCAUGAAGCGAAAUAAGCGAUUAUUUUUCACUAAAUAAUUUGGAAAAGAUGUAGGAGAAUUUUGACAACCAUUAAAUAUAUUUAAAUACCAAGAAUCUGUAGUAGAUAUUAUAUUAGACUUAUUAUCAAUUGUAGAGAUCUGACAUGCACGAGACAAAGCAUCAGGUAUGAUAUUAUCAACUCCUCUGCGAUGUUUAAUUUCAAAGUUAAAUGCUGAUAAUCUUACACCCCAUCUAGCUAAACGACCGGUAGGGUUGUUUAAGUUAAGGAACCAUUUUAGAGCUGAAUGGUCAGUAUAAACUGUAAACUUUUUGCCGUUGUCUAAGUAGCAUCUCCAAUGUUCUAGAGCCACUAAGACAGCGAGAGCUUCUCUUUCAGUAAUACUAUAAUUUCGCUCUGGCCCAGAUAAGGUUCUACUCAUAUAGGCUAUAGGGUGUUCAACACCAUCAACGGUUUGUGUUAGGAGUCCACCCACUCCACAAUCACUAGCAUCUGUAUGUACUUCGAAAGGUAGGUCAAAAUUAGGACAUGAUAGAAUUGGAGCAGAAACUAAUAAUUCUUUUAAUUUAAUGAAAGACUCUUCAGCUUUAUUACACCAAACAAAGGGAUUAGAUUUUUUAUUAGUUGAAGUUAAUUUAUUUAAAGGACCAGCAAUAGUACUAAAAUUAGGCACAAAUUUACGAUACCAAGAAGCAAUACCAAGAAAUCUUUUAACAUCUUUUUUAUUUUUAGGUGUAGGAUAAUUUAAAAUACAAUCAAUUUUAGUUGGAUCAACAUGAAGACCAUUAGAGUCGAUAACAUAACCUAAGUAUUUUAAUUGAUUUCUAAAAAACACAGAUUUUUCAAAGUUAAUUGUUAGAUUGGCCAUAACUAAUUUUUUAUGAACUUUUAGAAGAAGUGAAAUAUGCUUUUCAAAACUAGAGCUUAUGACUAUGAUGUCAUCGAUGAAGAUGAAGACUGAGUUUUCAAAUUCAGGACCAUAAAACAAGUAACAGAAUUAAGUUUGCGGCUAUCCAAACAGAAUCUAAGUGUACCAUCCUUUUUUGGAGUCAAUAGGACAGGAGAAGACCAUGGACUCUCACACUCUUCAACGACACCAAGAGAUAACAUCUCAUCCAGCUGUUCGGAAAGGAUGCGUUGUCUUUCAGGAGAAAGUCUGUAGUAUCUCUGUCUUAUAGGUAAAGAAUCACCGGUAUCAAUGUGAUGAGUUAUUAAGUGAGUCCUACCUAACCCACGCUUUUCAGUAGAAAUAUUACUAAACUGUUCUAUAAUAUUAUCAGCAGUUACACGCUGGUCAUGAGACAAGUCACUAUAAGAGUGCAAUAGAAUAUUAGUUUUAGAUACUGAAGCAAUUUCACUAGUGAUAUAUUCAUCACUAUGAAAGGAAAUAGAUUUUGAAAAUUUAGGAAAUAGUUUAAAUUUUGUCCAGAAAUCAAUGCCUAAAAUUAAAUUUGAUGUUACAGAUGGUAUGACAUAAGCCUUAAGUAUAUGAAAUUGUUUUUCAAAAGUUACUGGCAAAUUAAUAUAUCCAAUAGCUACUAAACAUUGGCCACCAGCCGUAGUAAAAUGCUUUGUGACGUCAGUAUGAAGUGUCAAACCAAAAGAAAGUAAGUGAGAAUGAGAAUUAUUACCAACAAUAGUGACUGAAGAACCAGAAUCCAGUAAACCACACAGAUUAUGGUCACAGACCUGAAUAGCAGCAUAAGGCCUAGUAUCAUCAUUAGGAGGUUUGUCGAAGAUUGAUGCAAUGAAAUAGCUAGAGAAGUAAGUCUUGACUGUACUAAGCCAAUUUUUCCAGUCAGCCUCAUCAAAGUUGUUAGAUAUUUUAUUAUUAGUUACAGCAGUUUCAUCGCAGCAAUCCUCAGCAAUUAGUUUUUUUGGUUCUGCUUAGAAUGACAUUUAGUGCAGCUAGGGUAUGUAACAUUCAACGUACCGCAUUUAAAACAAUUGGGAAAUCUAUCAGCUUUACACUGAGACAAGGAAUGUUCAGCAGUACGACAACGAGGACAAUAAGUUUGUUUUCCCCUAGGGGCAGAAGUGGAAAUGGCAGAUACCGCAGGUCUCUCCUUAUGUUUAAUAUUGAAACCGGAAUUAUUAUUAUGAUUUUUAUAAUUAAAUUUGUUGAAGUUAUAAUUUUUAGAAUAGUUAUUAUAUUUUUGAGGAUAAUAAUUAGUUUUAUUAGAAUUAUAGUCACUAGAUUUCGAAUAUGCUAGGUCAGGAGCUAAUGUAUCAGAUGAGACUCGAGGAGGUUCUUUAAAUUGUGAAGUUAAACAUUUAAUUUUCUCAAAGUUUCUACAUAGUGUUCUUAGAUUAUCAAUAGAAGUAAUGGAUGAAGAAUUAGAAGCCAAUACACCAGAGUAGCAAGGUCUAAUAUUAUGUAAUAAGAUAUCUAAUUUUUCCUGUUCGGAGAUAGUCCUAGUUAGUCUAGAGAAUAACUCUGACAUCUUUGCCAAAUAAAUAGUAAUAUUUUCAGAAUAACCCUGUGUCCUAUUCCGGAUUUCAGACAUUAAUCUGUAGUCAUGAUCAAAGUGACUGAAAUCCUCCUUAAGCAAGGUGACCAGCUCGUCCCAAGAAUUUACAGAAGGACUAAUACUGCGGUACCAAUGCAAAGCAUCACCCGUAAAGAAUUCAGUAGCAAAGGUUAAUAAUUUAGUAGAGGGUAUGUUUCUUACAGAGCUAUACUCACUCACUCUCUGCACAAACUCAUGCACACAUGACUUGCCAUUGAAUUUAAUUUUUUGUAGUCCGCUUAGUUGCGUGUGGUCACAAUAUACUGACACGUUUGUAGGCUCUGUAGUAGAUUGUAAGCUAGCUGAAGGCUCUGAGCUUGUAGUAGGGUUACUAGAUUUACCUAACAUAUUAACUUUAUUAAGC